CGAGCGAGGACUUCGGUCCUAGCGGCGGACGGGUGAGUAACGCGUGGGAACGUGCCCUUUGCUACGGAAUAGUCCCGGGAAACUGGGUUUAAUACCGUAUGUGCCCUUCGGGGGAAAGAUUUAUCGGCAAAGGAUCGGCCCGCGUUGGAUUAGGUAGUUGGUGGGGUAAUGGCCUACCAAGCCGACGAUCCAUAGCUGGUUUGAGAGGAUGAUCAGCCACACUGGGACUGAGACACGGCCCAGACUCCUACGGGAGGCAGCAGUGGGGAAUCUUAGACAAUGGGCGCAAGCCUGAUCUAGCCAUGCCGCGUGAGCGAUGAAGGCCUUAGGGUUGUAAAGCUCUUUCAGCGAGGAAGAUAAUGACGGUACUCGCAGAAGAAGCCCCGGCUAACUCCGUGCCAGCAGCCGCGGUAAUACGGAGGGGGCUAGCGUUGUUCGGAAUUACUGGGCGUAAAGCGCACGUAGGCGGAUUGGAAAGUCAGAGGUGAAAUCCCGGGGCUCAACCCCGGAACUGCCUUUGAAACUCCCAGUCUUGAGUUCGAGAGAGGUGAGUGGAAUUCCGAGUGUAGAGGUGAAAUUCGUAGAUAUUCGGAGGAACACCAGUG
rnacentral:rRNA from 1 species